GACGAACGCUGGCGGCGUGGAUUAGGCAUGCAAGUCGAACGGUAUCAUCCUUUCGGGGGUGAGAGAGUGGCGAACUGGUGAGUAACACGUAGGUUAUCUACCCUCAAGACGGGGACAACCCAGGGAAACUUGGGCUAAUACCGGAUGUGAGCAACUUUUAGUUGUUUGAAAGGUGGCGUAAGCUGUCGCUUGGGGAUGAGCCUGCGUCCUAUUAGUUAGUUGGUGAGGUAACGGCUCACCUAGGCAAUGAUAGGUAGGCGGCCUUAACGGGUGGUCGCCCACACUGGGAUUGAGAUACGGCCCAGACUCCUACGGGAGGCAGCAGUCGAGAAUAGUCUACAAUGGUCGGAAGACUGAUAGUGCGACGCCGCGUGAACGAUGAAUCCCUUCGGGGUGUAAAAGUUCUUUUAUAUGUGAGCAGUGCUUCUUAUAUUAACAGUAUGGGGAGAGAGAUAUUAGCAUAUGAAUAAGCAAACGGCUAAACUCCGUGCCAGCAGCCGACGGUAAAAA
rnacentral:rRNA from 1 species